UUGGAGGUGAUGACUAUUUCCCCAGAUGAUCGACGCUGAUUAUACUGUGCUACUUUAGCGUUCCUCUUUGUUGAGGAACCAAGCCAGUCUUGCUGAUCCAU